rnacentral:rRNA from 1 species
GACGUAGGGCGCGAGCGUUGUCCGGAUUUAUUGGGCGUAAAGAGCUUGUAGGCGGUUUGUCGCGUCUGCCGUGAAAAUCCGGGGCUCAACCCCGGACUUGCGGUGGGUACGGGCAGACUAGAGUGUGGUAGGGGAGACUGGAAUUCCUGGUGUAGCGGUGAAAUGCGCAGAUAUCAGGAAGAACACCAAUGGCGAAGGCAGCUCUCUGGGACGGUACUGACACUGAGACGCGAAAGCGUGGGGAGCGAACAGG